rnacentral:rRNA from 1 species
AAUAUGGCACAAUGUUGGAAACCCUGAUGCAGCGACGCCGCGCGAGGGAAGAUGGUCUUCUGAUCGUAAAACUCUUUCCUUGGAGAAGAAAGAAAUGACGGUAGCCAAGGAGGAAGCUCCGGCUAACUACGUUUGAUCAGCCGCGGUAAUACGCAGGGGGCGAGCGGUGUCCGGAUUUACUGGGCGUAAAGGGUGAGUAGGCGGUUAUCUGUGUCAGAUGUAAAAGGCUAUGGCUUAACUAUAGUUGGCAUUUGGAACUGUAUGACUUGAGUGCAGGAGAGGUAAGUGGAAUUUCUAGUGUAGCGGUGAAAUGCGUAGAUAUUAGGAGGAACACCAGCGGCGAAGGCGACUUACUGGACUGUAACUGACGCUGAGUCACGAAAGCGUGGGUAGCAAACAGG